rnacentral:rRNA from 1 species
AGGAUAAACGCUGGCGGCGUGCAUGAGACAUGCAAGUCGAACGGACGAUCAGGGCUUGCUCUGAUCGUUAGUGGCGGACGGCUGAGUAACGCGUAGGUGACCUGCCCCGAAGUGGGGAAUAACUGCCCGAAAGGGUGGCUAAUACCGCAUGUGGUGGUGCCUUCACUGGCAUCAGUAAAGCCGCAAGGCGCUUCGGGAGGGGCCUGCGUCCGAUUAGCUCGUUGGUGGGGUAACGGCUCACCAAGGCGACGAUCGGUAGGUGGUCUGAGAGGACGAUCACCCAGACUGGGACUGAGACACGGCCCAGACUCCUACGGGAGGCAGCAGUCGGGAAUUUUUGCGCAAUGGACGAAAGUCUGACGCAGCAACGCCGCGUGAGGGAUGACGGCCUUCGGGUUGUAAACCUCUUUUGUCAGGGACGAUGAUGACGGUACCUGACGAAUAAGUCACGGCUAACUACGUGCCAGCAGCCGC